UAUUUUUUUUCAGGUCCUUUCAACUACCACUGCUCUGCACACUGACUCCUUCACCAGGAUUCUUUCCAGAAACAUGUUACCAGGUCCUUUCCACUACCACUGCUCUGCACACUGACUCCUUCACCAGGAUUCUUUCCAGGAACAUUUUACCAGGUCCUUUCAACUACCACUGCUCUGCACACUGACUCCUUCACCAGGAUUCUUUCCAGGAACAUUUUACCAGGUCCUUUCAACUACCACUGCUCUGCACACUGACUCCUUCACCAGGAUUCUUUCCAGGAACAUUUUACCAGAUCUUCUCGAUCCAACUAUUACUGCCCUGAAGCCUUAAAUUCAAGAGCUUGGAACACUCAUUCAUGUGAAUGACUUGCAAGUGGUUUUUUUUAAUGACUGUCUAUAAUUAUGCAUGAUUAACUUAACUCUUAUUAACUCAAUAACAUGACUAACCUCACUAACUUAAUUAUGCAGUUAUUAUUAAAACCACUUGUUGAGUUUUACUAUGAAGGUCUUAAUAGGGUUGCGUGGAUGACACCGCUGCAUGAUUAAUCAGGGUAAACGAAAACUUCUAGCCAAGUAUUCUUCAACUCUCAAGUUACUCAAGACUUGUUCUCCGGCUGAAAUAGUCGCUCGAUCUACUAAUUAUGCUGUCCCAAGUACUGGCG